UGCGACCGGAGCCCACGCGCCGUUUCGAGGCGCUGGCRGGCUGUGCGUGGUGCGGCUGUGCCGGAGGGUGCGCCGGGGCCCUCGGAGAUCUACUUUCCCUUCAAUCAACUGAAGCUCUGCAGGUGCUUCUAAGAUUUACUUGCCUGCAGUUACUGCAGGUGAAUUAAUUUAAGCACAAAGACCUAUGGGCCCAUGAAGCACCCUGCACCUUGCUGAGGAGGUGCCAAUGUCCAGUCCUGGUGCUCUGCUGCCCUCCCUGGGGCCUUCCCUCAGAGCCGAGAUGCUGCCCGUGUGGAAAUGUUCCUGGUGGUGACUAGAAUGUACCAGCUCUGUCAGUUCCCAAGCAGCCCUGAAAGCAAGACCAGGACCCACCUCACRAGCACGUGUCCUGGCACAUCUAGACCCUGCUCAGCUCCAUCCUGACAUGUCAACGUGUUUGGUGUUGGUGGUGCUGUCUUGACCAUUGACCCCACUGGAACAUGGACCUCAUGGAGCUGCAGUGCACUGAGCAAUGGAUCAGGAAACAUUCUUCAAAACCAGUGCUGCCAAGACACAUGGGGAUCCAUGCUGGCAUCAAACCCUUUCAUUGCCAGCACUGCAAGUAAACAAGACUUCAGGCCCUCCCUGAUGUAGCAUAUGCAAUGGCUUACAGCAUAUGGGUGAGAAGGUUUUCAUAUGUAAAAUCUGCUCCAAUGCCUCCAUUGAUGCAAGUUCUUUGCGGUGGCGCUUCCAAGCCCAGGCCAGUGAGAGACUGGUCUGUUCAUACAGUUGUUCUCUAUAUAAAAUAGUAAGUGAUUAAAGAAGAUCUGAUGCAGAUGCAAGAAAAUGUACACCCUGCUAGAAACUAAAGAAUAUCUUGGACCCUAUCUUGUCCUACAGUUUGAACAGAAAGUUGGAAAUCUGUAUCAAGAAUAGCACUUGGUUCUUUUUCAUGAAGUAUAGUUGGACAUCUAUAAAAAGUAUUAAAGAGGGAGGAGAAGAAAAACUUCCUUUCCUCAUCUCUUCCCUGCUAGAAGAUACUUCUUAAAAGCAAAUUCAUGAYGACUUAUAAAACUGAAAGGUAAUCGGGAAGAAGUCUGAGUCAGAAUUGCUCAAAUAGGAUUUUCACCUGAAUAUUAGCAUUGGAUUUGUACUCUGCAAGGUAAUGUAUUCUAUUAGUGUACUAUUUCCUUUCUUGGUCAUAGCUAACCAGAUUUAAUGGUAUGUAUGAUACAUAUUCUUGCAUUUCAUUACUUGAAAACUUCUUGGGUAGAUUUUCAAUAAAUUUGAACUUUGG